rnacentral:rRNA from 1 species
GACGAACGCUGGCGGCGUGCUUAACACAUGCAAGUCGAACGGAAAGGCCCUGCUUUUGUGGGGUGCUCGAGUGGCGAACGGGUGAGUAACACGUGAGUAACCUGCCCUUGACUUUGGGAUAACUUCAGGAAACUGGGGCUACUACCGGAUAGGAGCUCCUGCUGCAUGGUGGGGGUUGGAAAGUUUCGGCGGUUGGGGAUGGACUCGCGGCUUAUCAGCUUGUUGGUGGGGUAGUGGCUUACCAAGGCUUUGACGGGUAGCCGGCCUGAGAGGGUGACCGGCCACAUUGGGACUGAGAUACGGCCCAGACGCCUACGGGAGGCAGCAGGGGGGAAUAUUGCACAAUGGGCGGAAGCCUGAUGCAGCAACGCCGCGUGCGGGAUGACGGCCUUCGGGGUGUAAACCGCUUUCGCCUGUGACGAAGCGUGAGUGACGGUAAUGGGUAAAGAAGCACCGGCUAACUACGUG